UAUAGCCAGUGUUCCUUGGGGUUACAAACAGCGGAAAUCGAAACGGAAAAUGUGAUUGACGCAGCUCGUAAAAAAUCAUCCAUGUGGUUUUUUUGUGGCUUAUUCCUGUGGCUGAUGAAGGAAUAGUUUGUGAUCCACCACGAGGUAUACCAUGGCCAGCGUUCCUUGGGGUUAUGAACAGCGGAAAUCGAAACAGAAAAGGUGAUUGACGGAGCUCGUAAAAAAUCAUCCAUGUGGUUUUCUUGUGGCUUAUUCGUGGCUGAUGAAGGAAUAGUUUGUGAUCCACCACGAGAGAUACCAUAGCCAGCGUUCCUUGGGGUUACGAACGUCAGAAAUCGAAACUGUAAAAGUGAUGGAUGGAGCUCGUAAACAAAAUCAUCCAUGGUGAAUGGUUUACGAUCGACCGCAAGAGACACCAUGGCCAGCGUUCCUUUACAUAGAGAAAUACCGAAGACGAAAUCAAUUGAAAUAUCGUAUUUUGGCGAGUAACGAAGGAAUGGCGAACAGAGAUAUACCAUGGCAAGCGUUCC